UGAGUAACUUUUACAUUUGUAAAGCCUCAAUUUGGGGGUUCUUCAAGUUAGGGAGACUAAGAACUCUCCCAAAAGUGAUCAUAUACAAGAAGUCAUGAAUAAUAUGGAUAACCCAUAUUAUUCGUCGGUUAACCUGUUUUUUUAUCUGUAUUAAAUAUAGGACGGGUCAAAUAAUUGAUCUGUUUUUUCAUUACCCGUUUUCAACUCGAACUAUAUCUAACCUGAUCCGCCUGUUUGCCACUCCUAACAUGGACCUUCACCGUGGACAUCAAAGGCAAAGGUGUUUGAUCCAACAUAAGGAGGUAAUUGGAGUUUGGUAAAGUUUGUGAGUUCAAUAGAAAAAAUGAAAGCUGGAAAAAUAAAGAAUAACAUGAACAUGGAGGAAACGCCCAUUGCUUUAAGAUCAUAGUACUCAAAUAUUGGCCAUGAAUUCUCUUGGUAAGUAAUUUGAAC
rnacentral:lncRNA from 1 species